UGCGUUUUUUAUGCAAAAUGUUUGUAUUGAAAGUAUAUUCAUGAAAUACAGCCGAAUGUAAACAUAAAAUGUAAACACAAGCGUGCAAAGUAUCACUGGCAUGAUUCUCACUCUAUAUUCCUACUUUUUUUCUACAUUUUAAAGUCUAGUUCAGGGACGCCGGAACGAUGUGAAGGCAGGGGGGGGGGCAGAUUUUCGUGAAAGGGCACAUUUGAAUUGAUAUAUACCAAGACUGAGAUGUUUGCAAAACAUCGGGAGUUGAACUUUUCCUAAUCAUGUUUUCUAUUUAUUGGAUGAUAGGGGUGUGACGGGGUUCUCUGCCAGGCGAUUGUGCUAUUCUUGAAGCUUGAUGACUGCAUUUCUUGCGUUUUCUGAAGCAAAUUCGUAAAAGAAUUGCACUAACAUUUCUGACAAUUCGCUAUUUCGCCAAGGCAAUCCUUUAAAUUGAAAGGGCACCUUUGCCCCCCCCUCUUGCCCCUCCUGGUGGAGGGCAACGGGGGCGGCUGCCCCCCC